GACGAACGCUGGCGGCGUGCUUAACACAUGCAAGUCGAACGGAAAGGCCCUGCUUUUGUGGGGUGCUCGAGUGGCGAACGGGUGAGUAACACGUGAGUAACCUGCCCUUGACUUUGGGAUAACUUCAGGAAACUGGGGCUAAUACCGGAUAGGAGCUCCUGCUGCAUGGUGGGGGUUGGAAAGUUUCGGCGGUUGGGGAUGGACUCGCGGCUUAUCAGCUUGUUGGUGGGGUAGUGGCUUACCAAGGAUUUGACGGGUAGCCGGCCUGAGAGGGUGACCGGCCACAUUGGAACUGAGAUACGGCCCAGACUCCUACGGGCGGCAGCAGUGGGGAAUAUUGCACAAUGGGCGGAAGCCUGAUGCAGCAACGCCGCGUGCGGGAUGACGGCCUUCGGGUUGUAAACCGCUUUCGCCUGUGACGAAGCGUGAGUGACGGUAAUGGGUAAAGAAGCACCGGCUAACUACGUG
rnacentral:rRNA from 1 species